GUAGCAUAUGCUUGUCUCAAAGCUUAAGCCAUGCAUGUCUAAGUACACACGGGCGGUACAGUGAAACUGCGAAUGGCUCAUUAAAUCAGUUAUGGUUCCUUUGGUCGCUCCUCUCCCGCUCCUUGGAUAACUGUGGUAAUUCUAGAGCUAAUACAUGCCGACGAGCGCCGACCUCCGGGGACGCGUGCAUUUAUCAGACCAAAACCAACCCGGGCCCGCCCGGCAGCUUUGGUGACUCUAGAUAACCUCGAGCCGAUCGCACGCCCCCGCGGCGGCGACGACCCAUUCGAAUGUCUG
rnacentral:rRNA from 2 species